GACGAACGCUGGCGGCGUGCUUAACACAUGCAAGUCGAGCGGUAAGGCUCCUUCUGGUGUACACGAGCGGCGAACGGGUGAGUAACACGUGAGUAAUCUGCCCUUCACUUCGGGAUAUCCACCUGAAACGGUGGCUAAUACCGAAUACGACCAGUCUUCUCAUGAGGUGCUGGUUGAAAGUCUUUUCGGUUAAGGAUUUGCUGGCGGCCUAUCAGCUUGUUGGUGGGGUAAUGGCCUACCAAGGCUUCGACGGGUAGCCGGGCUGAGAGGGUGACCAGCCGCACUGGGAAUGAGACACGGGAGAGACUCCUACGGGAGGAAGCGGUGGGGAAUAUUGGAAAAAGGGCGAAAGGGUGAUACAGCAACGCCGCGUGAGGGAUGACGGGAUUGGGGUUGUAAACCUCUUAAAGUACCGACGAAGGGAAAUGUCGGGUGGUGACGGUAGGUACAGAAGAAGGACCGGCCAACUACGUG
rnacentral:rRNA from 1 species